UACAGAGGUCCCAAGCGUUGUUCGGAUUCACUGGGCGUAAAGGGUGCGUAGGCGGUCGGGUAAGUCUGAUGUGAAAUCUCACAGCUUAACUGUGAAACUGCAUUGGAUACUAUUCGGCUUGAGAGUUGGAGGGGGACUGGAAUUCUCGGUGUAGCAGUGAAAUGCGUAGAUAUCGAGAGGAACACCAGUGGCGAAGGCGGGUCCCUGGACAACUUCUGACGCUGAGGCACGAAGCUAGGGAGCAA
rnacentral:rRNA from 1 species